rnacentral:rRNA from 1 species
AUACGUAGGGAGCGAGCGUUACCCGGAAUUACUGGGCGUAAAGAGCACGUAGGCGGUUGGAUAAGUCUUCUGUGAAAGCUCCCGGCUCAACUGGGAGAGGUCAGGUGAUACUAUUCGACUUGAGGGCUGUAGAGGUAAGCGGAAUUCCCGGUGUAGCGGUGAAAUGCGUAGAUAUCAGGAGGAACACCAGCGGCGAAAGCGGCUUACUGGGCAGUGCCUGACGCUGAGGUGCGAGAGCGUGGGGAGCAAACUGGAUUAGAAACCCCAGUAGUCC